AAAUAUUUAUUUUUGAGUGUUGAUUUAUAGAUGAUGUGAAAUCGUAUGUUUGUUUUCUUAUGUAUGUUCAUACAUGUGGUGCGUGUGUGUAUCUUUAUUUCUCAUUUCAUUUUUCUAUAGGUGUGAGGAUCCGUAUAUUAUUUUGCAUUAUGAAGUAAUAAUACGAGAGUUUAUACAGCAUCGAAUUGUUGCAAGGUACGAAUUCAUGACAAAAAUGAUGAGAAAUUCUUAUUCAUAACUUAGUAUCCUAAUUUUACUGUGAAUAUGUUAUGGAAUGUUUCUCUUGAUAAUGAUAUCUGAUUUAAAUACUCACUACAUGUUGAGAAGUUGAAAGCUUUUCUACAGGUAGAGGUUAAAUAUUUUGUUUGGUGCUUUUAAAAUUUUGGAGCCUAGAAUAUGAGGCCAAAAACGCGUGAUGGGUUGCCAAAGUUUCUUUGGAAAAUCUUUGACAGAGAGAUAGAUAUAGAUACGGACAUCACAGGCAGAGAGAUAGAUAUGGAUAUCCUUCCCCUUCUAUUAGUGUAAAAACUGGGUCAAGUUGGAAAUUGAUUGGGACUAGGUUCUGAAGUUCAUUUCUCAUAGAAUAUUGUAGGGUACAUUGUUGGCCACAGCUCGAAGAGGCUGUCUCUUGGUAAUAUUUCUCAUGCUAAUUGCUUAGUAUUGCUUAUUAUCAAGAAUCUUUGUAGAUGAAAAUUCCAUUUUAAUGUGUUUCUCACAGAUGCUAUAGACUGUUUAUCGGUAUAACUAAGAACCUCAUUCAGGUUGAUGGCCAUGUUUUGCCAACCCGAAAUGUUCGUUUGCAAGAAAUGUUUCUCUUGAUCGAUGUAUCUACAAAUUAGUUCUAUAUGGUUUUCUUGAGAUGGGUGAAAGGGCUUCAAUUAAUUUUUAAUUUUAAAACUGCAGUUGAAAGCUGGAAAUCGAGAUAAUACAUAUGUUGAAAUCAAAGAUAGACGCAACUUGUAUUUCUGAAUGGAUGGAAUUAGCAACUUUACGGAUGCAGUUUCUCUCUUGUAAGCUUUCUUAGACAAAUUCUUUAUGAUUCAUGGGUUUGUGUAAUAACCUUCAAUUUACUUCAUUCAGUCAUCUUUUUCUUCUUAACAUGUAUUUUGUCUGAAGUGUUUAGCCAAAGAAACCCUUACAAUAGGAUUACAAGAGAUCAACAACUUUCCGCUGAAGGAUGUCUACCAAAGCAAUCUAG
rnacentral:lncRNA from 1 species